rnacentral:rRNA from 1 species
UACGUAGGUGGCAAGCGUUGUCCGGAUUUAUUGGGCGUAAAGCGAGCGCAGGCGGUGAUGUAAGUUUGAUGUGAAAGCCCCCGGCUCAACCGGGGGGGGUCAUUGGAAACUGGAUCACUUGAGUGCAGAAGAGGAGAGUGGAAUUCCAUGUGUAGCGGUGGAAUGCGUAGAUAUAUGGAGGAACACCAGUGGCGAAAGCGGCCCUCUGGUCUGUGACUGACGCUGAGGCUCGAAAGCGUGGGUAGCAAACAGG